rnacentral:rRNA from 1 species
GACGAACGCUGGCGGCGUGCCUAAUACAUGCAAGUAGAACGCACAGUUUAUACCGUAGCUUGCUACACCAUAGACUGUGAGUUGCGAACGGGUGAGUAACGCGUAGGUAACCUGCCUGGUAGCGGGGGGUAACUAUUGGAAACGAUAGCUAAUACCGCAUAAUAUUGAUUAUUGCAUGAUAAUUGAUUGAAAGAUGCUAUUGCAUCACUACCAGAUGGACCUGCGUUGUAUUAGCUAGUAGGUGAGGUAACGGCUCACCUAGGCGACGAUACAUAGCCGACCUGAGAGGGUGAUCGGCCACACUGGGACUGAGACACGGCCCAGACUCCUACGGGAGGCAGCAGUAGGGAAUCUUCGGCAAUGGACGAAAGUCUGACCGAGCAACGCCGCGUGAGUGAAGAAGGUUUUCGGAUCGUAAAGCUCUGUUGUAAGAGAAGAACGGGUGUGAGAGUGGAAAGUUCACACUGUGACGGUAUCUUACCAGAAAGAGACGGCUAACUACGUG